rnacentral:rRNA from 1 species
UACGGAGGGAGCGAGCGUUGUUCGGAAUUACUGGGCGUAAAGGGUGCGCAGGCGGCUUGGCAAGUCGGAAGUGAAAUCCCAGGGCUUAACCCUGGAAUUGCUUUCGAAACUGCCAGGCUAGAGUCUCGGAGAGGUUAGCGGAAUUCCCAGUGUAGAGGUGAAAUUCGUAGAUAUUGGGAGGAACACCAGUGGCGUAAGCGGCUAACUAGACGAGUACUGACGCUCAGGCACGAAAGCGUGGGGAGCAAACCGG